UGUGGCAGUCAUUUUGUAGACAGUAUCUUUAGUUAACAAGGCUCAUCUCUGAGCAUGGCGCUAAUUUCAAGAUGUUCAAAAUUUAGCAACAACAGCGUGGGGCAAUUUGAGUACUAGUUACUACGAGGACUAACAAGGAUUAUAGAGGCCUGUUUAUGGUGAGGAUGAGGCUGUAAAUCCCAUUAUCCGAGCGCCUACCAGCUACGAGGACCGGAAGAGGCUAUUUUUGGAGCGGCUCAGCCCACUUGCACACACAAUUCCA